rnacentral:rRNA from 1 species
UACGUAGGGGGCGAGCGUUAUCCGGAAUUAUUGGGCGUAAAGAGUGCGUAGGUGGUUUUUUAAGCGUGGGGUGAAAGGCAAUGGCUCAACCAUUGUAAGCCUUGCGAACUGGAAGACUUGAGUGCAGGAGAGGAAAGCGGAAUUCCUAGUGUAGCGGUGAAAUGCGUAGAUAUUAGGAGGAACACCAGUGGCGAAGGCGGCUUUCUGGACUGUAACUGACACUGAGGCACGAAAGCGUGGGGAGCAAACAGG